GACGAACGCUGGCGGCGUGCUUAACACAUGCAAGUCGAACGGAAAGGCCCUGCUUUUGUGGGGUGCUCGAGUGGCGAACGGGUGAGUAACACGUGAGUAACCUGCCCUUGACUUUGGGAUAACUUCAGGAAACUGGCCUAAUACCGGAUAGGAGCUCCUGCUGCAUGGUGGGGGUUGGAAAGUUUCGGCGGUUGGGGAUGGACUCGCGGCUUAUCAGCUUGUUGGUGGGGUAGUGGCUUACCAAGGCUUUGACGGGUAGCCGGCCUGAGAGGGUGACCGGCCACAUUGGGACUGAGAUACGGCCCAGACUCCUACGGGAGGCAGCAGUGGGGAAUAUUGCACAAUGGGCGGAAGCCUGAUGCAGCAACGCCGCGUGCGGGAUGACGGCCUUCGGGUUGUAAACCGCUUUCGCCUGUGACGAAGCGUGAGUGACGGUAAUGGGUAAAGAAGCACCGGCUAACUACGUG
rnacentral:rRNA from 1 species